UACGAAGGGUGCUAGCGUUGUUCGGAUUUACUGGGCGUAAAGCGCACGUAGGCGGCUUGUUAAGUCAGGGGUGAAAUCCUGGAGCUCAACUCCAGAACUGCCUUUGAUACUGGCAAUCUUGAGUCCGGAAGAGGUGAGUGGAACUCCUAGUGUAGAGGUGGAAUUCGUAGAUAUUAGGAAGAACACCAGUGGCGAAGGCGGCUCACUGGUCCGGUACUGACGCUGAGGUGCGAAAGCGUGGGGAGCAAACAGG
rnacentral:rRNA from 1 species